GAUCAUGGCUCAGAGCGAACGCUGGCGGCAGGCUUAACACAUGCAAGUCGAGCGGGCGUAGCAAUACGUCAGCGGCAGACGGGUGAGUAACGCGUGGGAACGUACCUUUUGGUUCGGAACAACACAGGGAAACUUGUGCUAAUACCGGAUAAGCCCCUUACGGGGAAAGAUUUAUCGCCGAAAGAUCGGCCCGCGUCUGAUUAGCUAGUUGGUAGGGUAAUGGCCUACCAAGGCGACGAUCAGUAGCUGGUCUGAGAGGAUGAUCAGCCACAUUGGGACUGAGACACGGCCCAAACUCCUACGGGAGGCAGCAGUGGGGAAUAUUGGACAAUGGGGCAACCCUGAUCCAGCCAUGCCGCGUGAGUGAUGAAGGCCCUAGGGUUGUAAAGCUCUUUUGUGCGGGAAGAUAAUGACGGUACCGCAAGAAUAAGCCCCGGCUAACUUCGUG
rnacentral:rRNA from 1 species